UACGGAGGGUGCAAGCGUUAUCCGGAAUGAUUGGGCGUAAAGCGUCCGCAGGUGGCUAUGUAAGUCUGCUGUUAAAGCGUGAGGCUCAACCUCAUAAAAGCAGUGGAAACUACAUGGCUAGAGUGCGUUCGGGGCAGAGGGAAUUCCUGGUGUAGCGGUGAAAUGCGUAGAUAUCAGGAAGAACACCGGUGGCGAAAGCGCUCUGCUAGGCCGCAACUGACACUGAGGGACGAAAGCUAGGGGAGCGAAUGGG
rnacentral:rRNA from 1 species